AGCUAAUGAACUUGAAAAGUAUAUACUUUGAAAGUAUAAAAUAGUAGUAAAAUCUACUAUUAGCUU
rnacentral:tRNA from 1 species